rnacentral:rRNA from 1 species
UACGUAGGUGGCAAGCGUUGUCCGGAUUUACUGGGCGUAAAGAGCGCGCAGGCGGUCGUCCAAGUCGCGUGUGAAAGCCCCCGGCUCAACUGGGGAGGGUCACGCGAUACUGGUCGACUCGAAGGCAGGAGAGGGUAGUGGAAUUCCCGGUGUAGUGGUGAAAUGCGUAGAUAUCGGGAGGAACACCAGUGGCGAAGGCGACUACCUGGCCUGUACUUGACGCUGAGGCGCGAAAGCUAGGGGAGCAAACGGG